AGCGAACGCUGGCGGCAGGCCUAACACAUGCAAGUCGAACGAAACUUCCGGGGUUAGUGGCGGUCGGGGGAGUACCACGGGGGAAGGUGCACUUAGGUACCGAAUACCUCAGGUUAAUUUGGGCUAAUACAGCAUGUGCUACUCGGGGAAAAGAUUUAUCCUACCUAGAGCGGCUGGCGUCCGUUUAGCUUGUUGGUUGAGGUUAUGGCGCAGCAAGGCUACGAUGUGUAGGUGGUAUGAGAGGAAGAGCAGCCACAUUGGGACUGAGACGCGGCGCAGAAUCCUACAGGAGGGAGCAGUGGGGGAUCUAGCGCAAUGGGGGAGAGGCUGACGCAGCCAUGGCGCUUGAGUGGUGAAGUUCUUAGGAUUAUGAAAUUCUUUCACCGGGGACUGUAAUGACGGUACCCGGAGAAGAAGCCCCGGCUAACUUCGUG
rnacentral:rRNA from 1 species